rnacentral:rRNA from 1 species
UACGGAAUGUGCAAACGUUAUUCGGAAUCACUGGGCGUAAAGCGCACGUAGGCGGAUUUUUAAGUCAGGGGUGAAAUCCUGGAGCUCAACUCCAGAACUGCCUUUGAUACUGGGAAUCUCGAGUCCGGGAGAGGUGAGUGGAACUGCGAGUGUAGAGGUGAAAUUCGUAGAUAUUCGCAAGAACACCAGUGGCGAAGGCGGCUCACUGGCCCGGUACUGACGCUGAGGUGCGAAAGCGUGGGGAGCAAACAGG